CCCACCCCCCCGUGUGUGAGCAAAAUGCUGCUGCUGUGCGCCAGCGUCUGGAGGUGAUGCAAUGCAUAUAAAAAACACACAAGAGGACUGCAUCUGUCAGGACACGGCCGCUGCGGGAGGGCGCACGAGGUGCUGUGGCGUCUCCGUCUCCAGCCACAGGUGGAGCACCACUGCUGGAACACCCGGGGUCUGCAAAGACAAAUUAUUCAACUUUAAAUAAAUUCAACUUUUGUGAA